rnacentral:rRNA from 1 species
AUUCCAGCUCCAAUAGCGUAUAUUUAAGUUGUUGCAGUUAAAAAGCUCGUAGUUGGAUUUCGGGCGAGGUCUACCGGUCCGCCGUAUAGGUGUGCACUGGCCGAGCUCGUCUUUCUGUCGGGGACGCGCUCCUGGGCUUUACUGUCUGGGACGCGGAGUCGGCGCUGUUACUUUGAAAAGAUUAGAGUGUUCAAAGCGGGCUUACGCAUGAAUACAUUAGCAUGGGAUAGCACUAUAGGACUCUGUUUCUAUUUUGUUGGUCUUCGGAAACGGAGUAAUGAUUAAUAGGGACAGUUGGGGGCAUUCGUAUUUCAGUGUCAGAGGUGAAAUUCUUGGAUUUCUGAAAGACGAACUUCUGCGAAAGCAUUUGCCAAGGAUGUUUUCAUCG